rnacentral:rRNA from 1 species
UUGGCUUAGGGAUACGUUCGUUGGGUAGGGGAGCGUUCUGUAAGCCUGUGAAGGUGUGUCGUGAGGCAUGCUGGAGGUAUCAGAAGUGCGAAUGCUGACAUAAGUAACGAUAAAGCGGGUGAAAAGCCCGCUCGCCGGAAGACCAAGGGUUCCUGUCCAACGUUAAUCGGGGCAGGGUGAGUCGACCCCUAAGGCGAGGCCGAAAGGCGUAGUCGAUGGGAAACGGGUUAAUAUUCCCGUACUUGGUGUUACUGCGAAGGGGGGACGGAGAAGGCUAUGUUGGCCGGGCGACGGUUGUCCCGGUUUAAGCGUGUAGGUGUGUGUUCCAGGUAAAUCCGGUUCACUUUAACACUGAGGCGUGACGACGAGGCACUACGGUGCUGAAGCAACAAAUGCCCUGCUUCCAGGAAAAGCCUCUAAGCAUCAGGUAACAUCAAAUCGUACCCCAAACCGACACAGGUGGUCAGGUAGAGAAUACCAAGGCGCUUGAGAGAACUCGGGUGAAGGAACUAGGCAAAAUGGUGCCGUAACUUCGGGAGAAGGCACGCUGACACGUAGGUGAAGUGAUUUACUCAUGGAGCUGAAGUCAGUCGAAGAUACCAGCUGGCUGCAACUGUUUAUUAAAAACACAGCACUGUGCAAACACGAAAGUGGACGUAUACGGUGUGACGCCUGCCCGGUGCCGGAAGGUUAAUUGAUGGGGUCAGCGCAAGCGAAGCUCCUGAUCGAAGCCCCGGUAAACGGCGGCCGUAACUAUAACGGUCCUAAGGUAGCGAAAUUCCUUGUCGGGUAAGUUCCGACCUGCACGAAUGGCGUAAUGAUGGCCAGGCUGUCUCCACCCGAGACUCAGUGAAAUUGAACUCGCUGUGAAGAUGCAGUGUACCCGCGGCAAGACGGAAAGACCCCGUGAACCUUUACUAUAGCUUGACACUGAACAUUGAGCCUUGAUGUGUAGGAUAGGUGGGAGGCUUUGAAGUGUGGACGCCAGUCUGCAUGGAGCCGACCUUGAAAUACCACCCUUUAAUGUUUGAUGUUCUAACGUGGACCCGUAAUCCGGGUUGCGGACAGUGUCUGGUGGGUAGUUUGACUGGGGCGGUCUCCUCCUAAAGAGUAACGGAGGAGCACGAAGGUUGGCUAAUCCUGGUCGGACAUCAGGAGGUUAGUGCAAUGGCAUAAGCCAGCUUGACUGCGAGCGUGACGGCGCGAGCAGGUGCGAAAG